rnacentral:rRNA from 1 species
AGGGUUUGAUCCUGGCUCAGAACGUACGCUGGCGGCACGCCUAACACAUGCAAGUCGAACGAAGUAGCAAUACUUAGUGGCAGACGGGUGAGUAACAUGUAGGUAUCUGCCCUUUGGCCUGGAAUAACACGAGGAAACUUGUGCUAAUACCGGAUAAGUCUUUACGGAGAAAGCUUUAUGCACCAUUGGAUGAGCCUGCACUUGAUUAGUUUGUUGGUGGGGUAAUGGCCUACCAAGACUUUGAUCAAUAGCUGAUUUGAGAGGAUGAUCAGCCACAUUGGGACUGAGACACGGCCCAAACUCCUACGGGAGGCAGCAGUGGGGAAUCUUGCACAAUGGAGGAAACUCUGAUGCAGCGAUGCCGCGUGAGUGAAGAAGGCCCUUGGGUUGUAAAGCUCUUUCGUCGGGGAAGAAAAUGACUGUACCCGAAUAAGAAGGUCCGGCUAACUUCGUGCCAGCAGCCGCGGUAAUACGAAGGGACCUAGCGUAGUUCGGAAUUACUGGGCUUAAAGAGUUCGUAGGUGGUUGAAAAAGUUGGUGGUGAAAUCCCAGAGCUUAACUCUGGAACUGCCAUCAAAACUUUUCAGCUAGAGUUUGAUAGAGGAAAGCAGAAUUUCUAGUGUAGAGGUGAAAUUCGUAGAUAUUAGAAAGAAUACCGAUUGCGAAGGCAGCUUUCUGGAUCAUUACUGACACUGAGGAACGAAAGCAUGGGUAGCGAAGAGGAUUAGAUACCCUCGUAGUCCAUGCCGUAAACGAUGUGUGUUAGACGUUGGAAAUUUAUUUUCAGUGUCGCAGCGAAAGCGAUAAACACACCGCCUGGGGAGUACGACCGCAAGGUUAAAACUCAAUGAAUUGACGGGGACCCGCACAAGUAGUGGAGCAUGUGGUUUAAUUCGAAGAUACGCGCAGAACCUUACCAACACUUGACAUGUUCGUCGCGACUUUAAGAGAUUAAAGUUUUCGGUUCGGCCGGACGAAACACAGGUGCUGCAUGGCUGUCGUCAGCUCGUGUCGUGAGAUGUUGGGUUAAGUCCCGCAACGAGCGCAACCCUCACUUUUAGUUGCCAUCAUUUAGUUGGGCACUCUGAAAGAACUGCCAGUGAUAAGCUGGAGGAAGGUGGGGAUGACGUCAAGUCCUCAUGGCCCUUACGUGUUGGGCUACACACGUGCUACAAUGGUAUUUACAACAGGAAGCAAAACGGCGACGUUAAGCAAAUCCUCAAAAAAUACCUCAGUUCGGAUUGCACUCUGCAACUCGAGUGCAUGAAGCUGGAAUUACUAGUAAUCGUGGAUCAGCGUGCCACGGUGAAUGCGUUCCCGGGUCUUGUACACACCGCCCGUCACACCAUGGGAGUUGGUUCUACCUUAAGGCAAGGUUUAAAACCCUUGACCACGGUAUAGUCAGCGACUGGGGUGAAGUCGUAACAAGGUAGCCGUA